ACACCUGAGUUUGCUGUAAACUAUUAAAUAUGGCACAGAAAAAUCUGAAAUUAGAGAACUGGAGAAAGAAGUGGGGUCUGUGGCUUUUGGAUUGAGGAGGAAAUGACUUGCUCUCCCCUUACCUUUUGUACAGAAGUGACUGUUUUGGGACGGUGUCCCUGGGCUGGUGGCUCUGCGGGAUUAGAUGUGAAGGCACUCGGGAACGCCACUGCAGUGAAGGUGGUUCUGGGACUGAAGGGUGAGCAGCAGCGGGAUGGCCGGGAACUGAUGUGGUUCUGCUGCACAGGGAAAGGGGGUUUUGGAGACACCGCUACCAUUCGGAUUCCUCUGGAUUCCUGAUGGCUCGUCUGGUUCACUGAGCUUCACCGCUCAGGUGAAACAAGGCCACAAAAGAAUGGUAUAUUACAGAUUUACAAACACAGAGAGAAUCUUUCAGACUGAACUG
rnacentral:lncRNA from 1 species